AUUGAACGCUGGCGGCAUGCCUUACACAUGCAAGUCGAACGGCAGCAUAGGAGCUUGCUCCUGAUGGCGAGUGGCGAACGGGUGAGUAAUAUAUCGGAACGUGCCCUAGAGUGGGGGAUAACUAGUCGAAAGACUAGCUAAUACCGCAUACGAUCUACGGAUGAAAGUGGGGGAUCGCAAGACCCCAUGCUCCUGGAGCGGCCGAUAUCUGAUUAGAUAGUUGGUGGGGUAAAAGCCUACCAAGGCAACGAUCAGUAGCUGGUCUGAGAGGACGACCAGCCACACUGGGACUGAGACACGGCCCAGACUCCUACGGGAGGCAGCAGUGGGGAAUUUUGGACAAUGGGGGCAACCCUGAUCCAGCAAUGCCGCGUGAGUGAAGAAGGCCUUCGGGUUGUAAAGCUCUUUUGUCAGGGAAGAAACGGUAGUAGCGAAUAACUACUACUAAUGACGGUACCUGAAGAAUAAGCACCGGCUAACUACGUGCCAGCAGCCGCAGUAA
rnacentral:rRNA from 1 species